AUGCCUCCCAUGUAUUUCCCGCCGACCCCCGCACCAGCCGCCGCCUUCCCUCCACUAGUUUUUCCACCAAGCCCCGCACCGCUUCCAGCAUCAGCGAACCUGCCUCCUAUCAUCAUCCCGGACCACCCGGGCACCUACUUCCCGCCAAGCCCCGCGCCAGGUUCAGCACCAGCAGAUGGCAUGCCUCCGAUGUUACCAGCCGUCGCCUUCCCUCCUAUGUUCUUCCCGCCAAACCCCGCACCAUCAGAGGGGAUGCCUCCUACCCCAGCCGUCGCUUUCCCUCCGAUAUACUUGCCGCCGGCCCUUGCACCAGCGGAGGGGCCAUCCGUCACCAUCCCGGACGUGCCGGGGACCAGCGGCUUCAACAUAACGGAGUUCGUCGUCGUCGUUGGCUUAGGCACGCCGUCUCAACAAUCCGCUCUGAUGUUCGACACCGGCAGCGACCUGUCCUGGGUCCAGUGCCAGCCGUGCACGGGCCACUGUUACCAGCAAAACGACCCGCUCUACGACCCGACCAAGUCCUCCACCUACGACGUCGUGCAUUGCGGUACGCCAGAGUGCUCGGCGGCCGGUGGCAAGUGCAAUGGCACCACCUGUCUCUACAACAUCAACUAUGGUGACGGUUCAUCCACAUCUGGUGCGCUCUCACAGGAGACGCUGACGUUCUCCUCGUCGCGCAAGUUCUCCAGCUUCCCAUUCGGAUGCGGCACGACCAACCUGGGUGACUUUGGCAGCGUCGACGGGCUGCUUGGCCUUGGCCGUGGCCAGCUCUCGCUGGCCUCGCAGACGGCCUCCUCGUUCGACGGCACCUUCUCCUACUGCCUGCCUUCUCACAACAUGACGAGGCCCGGGUUCCUCAGCAUCGGCGCCUCCCCAGACACCGGCAAGGUCCAGUACACGGCGAUGAUCAAGAAGCCGCAGUACCCGUCCUUCUACUUCGUGGAGCUCGUGUCCAUCGACAUCGGUGGCUACGUCCUGCCGGUGCCGCCAUCCGUGUUCACCAGCAAGGGCACCCUACUCGACUCCGGCACCACGUUCACGUACAUCCCCGCGCAGGCCUACACCUUGCUCCGCGACCGGUUCAAGUUCACCAUGAAGGGGUACAAGCCGGCGGCGCCCUUCCAAGACCUCGACACGUGCUAUGACUUCUCUGGCCAAAGCGUGAUCUUCCAACCAGGGAUGUCCUUCAAGUUCAGUGAUGGAGCCGUGUUCGAUAUCGACAUCUUUGGGGUCAUGAUAUACCCUUAUGUAGACCACCCGGCCAUCGGGUGCUUCGCGUUUGCGUCGAGUGAUCCCACGGAUCAGUUCUCCAUCAUCGGCAACACUCAGCAGCGUUCUGCUGAGGUGAUCUACAACGUCGUAGCCGAGAAGAUUGGUUUUGUUCCGCUGAGUUGCUGA
rnacentral:rRNA from 1 species